rnacentral:rRNA from 1 species
UACGUAGGAUGCAAGCGUUGUCCGGAAUUAUUGGGCGUAAAGAGCUCGUAGGCGGCUUGUCGCGUCGGCUGUGAAAACCUAGGGCUCAACCCUGGGCCUGCAGCCGAUACGGGCAAGCUAGAAUUCGGUAGGGGAGACUGGAAUUCCUGGUGUAGCGGUGAAAUGCGCAGAUAUCAGGAGGAACACCGGUGGCGAAGGCGGGUCUCUGGGCCGAUAUUGACGCUGAGGAGCGAAAGCGUGGGGAGCGAACAGG